UCUCUCUCUCUAACACCACCGUUCACUACUACUUUUCUCUCUAACACCACCGUCCACCAUCCAUUACCACCUAUCUCUCCGAAAUUAAAAAUUUUAUAACAGAAUACCCAUUCUCAAAUGGGUUUUGUUCAACAUCAAUUCAAUUUAUUCCAACAACCAUUUCUUUUCCAACUUUCGAUUUCACAUAUCUCUUUGAGUGAAUGUAUGAAUAGAGCUGCAAUUUAGUAAUUGAUUUUAUGUUUGAAUUUAGGUUUGAAGAGAAUAAUAAUCGAUGAUCUAGAAGAGAAUUUUGAGGAUAUUUGAGUGUCGCCUUAAGAGAAUGGUGGUGGAAGAAGAUAAUGGCAGAGUUUGUUCAAAAAGGAAUAGUAAAAAUCAUGAAGAUGGAGAUGGAAUGGAGACAAAAAAAAAAAAAAAGGCAAGAUCUGGUGGUUAUGAUGAAUUAUAAAAGAUGUUGGUGUGCAGAGGUUUAAGAGGAUGGAAGUGCUUCAGUUGCUUCGAGAUCUUUGUUGUUUGUUAGAUUGAACCAACUAC
rnacentral:lncRNA from 1 species